GUGGGGAAUCUUGCGCAAUGGGCGAAAGCCUGACGCAGCCAUGCCGCGUGAAUGAUGAAGGUCUUAGGAUUGUAAAAUUCUUUCACCGGGGACGAUAAUGACGGUACCCGGAGAAGAAGCUCCGGCUAACUUCGUGCCAGCAGCCGCGGUAAUACGAAGGGGGCUAGCGUUGCUCGGAAUUACUGGGCGGAAAGGGCGCGUAGGCGGACAGCUUAGUCAGAGGUGAAAGCCCAGGGCUUAACCUUGGAAUUGCCUUUGAUACUGGCUGUCUUGAGUUUGGGAGAGGUGAGUGGAACUCCGAGUGUAGAGGUGAAAUUCGUAGAUAUUCGGAAGAACACCAGUGGCGAAGGCGACUCACUGGCCCAAUACUGACGCUGAGGCGCGAAAGCGUGGGGAGCAAACAGGAUUAGAAACCCCAGUAGUCC
rnacentral:rRNA from 1 species